AUUGAGCGCUGGCGGCAGGCUUAACACAUGCAAGUCGAGCGGAGUGAUGGUGCUUGCACUAUCACUUAGCGGCGGACGGGUGAGUAAUGCUUAGGAAUCUGCCUAUUAGUGGGGGACAACAUCUCGAAAGGGAUGCUAAUACCGCAUACGUCCUACGGGAGAAAGCAGGGGAUCACUUGUGACCUUGCGCUAAUAGAUGAGCCUAAGUCGGAUUAGCUAGUUGGUGGGGUAAAGGCCUACCAAGGCGACGAUCUGUAGCGGGUCUGAGAGGAUGAUCCGCCACACUGGGACUGAGAAACGGCCCAGACUCCGACGGGAGGCAGCAGUGGGGAAUAUUGGACAAUGGGGGGAACCCUGAUCCAGCCAUGCCGCGUGUGUGAAGAAGGCCUUAUGGUUGUAAAGCACUUUAAGCGAGGAGGAGGCUCUUUUGGUUAAUACCCAAGAUGAGUGGACGUUACUCGCAGAAUAAGCACCGGCUAACUCUGUGCCAGCCGCCGCAGUAAGAC
rnacentral:rRNA from 1 species